UACAGAGGGGGCAAGCGUUGUUCGGAAUUACUGGGCGUAAAGCGCACGUAGGCGGCUUUGUAAGUUAGAGGUGAAAGCCUGGAGCUCAACUCCAGAAUUGCCUUUAAGACUGCAUCGCUUGAAUCCAGGAGAGGUGAGUGGAAUUCCGAGUGUAGAGGUGAAAUUCGUAGAUAUUCGGAAGAACACCAGUGGCGAAGGCGGCUCACUGGACUGGUAUUGACGCUGAGGUGCGAAAGCGUGGGGAGCAAACAGG
rnacentral:rRNA from 1 species